UGGGGAAUAUUGCACAAUGGGCGCAAGCCUGAUGCAGCCAUGCCGCGUGUGUGAAGAAGGCCUUCGGGUUGUAAAGCACUUUCAGCGAGGAGGAAGGGUAGUGUGUUAAUAGCACAUUGCAUUGACGUUACUCGCAGAAGAAGCACCGGCUAACUCCGUGCCAGCAGCCGCGGUAAUACGGAGGGUGCAAGCGUUAAUCGGAAUUACUGGGCGUAAAGCGCACGCAGGCGGUUUGUUAAGUCAGAUGUGAAAUCCCCGCGCUUAACGUGGGAACUGCAUUUGAAACUGGCAAGCUAGAGUCUUGUAGAGGGGGGUAGAAUUCCAGGUGUAGCGGUGAAAUGCGUAGAGAUCUGGAGGAAUACCGGUGGCGAAGGCGGCCCCCUGGACAAAGACUGACGCUCAGGUGCGGAAGCGUGGGGAGCAAACA
rnacentral:rRNA from 1 species